UACAGAGGGUGCGAGCGUUAAUCGGAAUUACUGGGCGUAAAGGGCGCGUAGGCGGUAGUGUAUGUGUGAUGUGAAAGCCCCGGGCUUAACCUGGGAAGCGCAUCGCAAACUGCAUUACUGGAGUACAAGAGAGGGUGGCGGAAUUUCCGGUGUAGCGGUGAAAUGCGUAGAGAUCGGAAGGAACGUCAAUGGCGAAGGCAGCCACCUGGCUUGAUACUGACGCUGAGGCGCGAAAGCGUGGGGAGCGAACAGG
rnacentral:rRNA from 1 species